CCUACGGGAGGCAGCAGUGAGGAAUAUUGGUCAAUGGACGAGAGUCUGAACCAGCCAAGUAGCGUGAAGGAUGACUGCCCUAUGGGUUGUAAACUUCUUUUAUAUGGGAAUAAAAUGUUCCACGUGUGGGAUUUUGUAUGUACCAUAUGAAUAAGGAUCGGCUAACUCCGUGCCAGCAGCCGCGGUAAUACGGAGGAUCCGAGCGUUAUCCGGAUUGAUUGGGUUUAAAGGGAGCGUAGGUGGAUGGUUAAGUCAGUUGUGAAAGUUUGCGGCUCAACCGUAAAAUUGCAGUUGAAACUGGCAGUCUUGAGUACAGUAGAGGUGGGCGGAAUUCGUGGUGUAGCGGUGAAAUGCUUAGAUAUCACGAAGAACUCCGAUUGCGAAGGCAGCUCACUGGACUGCAACUGACACUGAGGCUCGAAAGUGUGGGUAUCAAACAGGAUUAGAUACCCCAGUAGUC
rnacentral:rRNA from 1 species